rnacentral:rRNA from 1 species
GUUCAAGUCUGCUGUCAAAGACAGUAGCUCAACUACUGACAGGCACUGGAAACUGAAUCGCUAGAGAACGGUAGGGGCAGAAGGAAUUCCCGGUGUAGCGGUGAGAUGCGUAGAUUUCGGGAAGAACAUCGGCGGCGAAAGCGUUCUGCUGGACCGUAUCUGACACUCAGGGACGAAAGCUAGGGGAGCGAAUGGGAUUAGAUACCCCAGUAGUCCUAGCUGUAAACGAUGGAUACUAGGUGUUGCCUGUAUCGACCCGGGCAGUGCCGUAGCUAACGCGUUAAGUAUCCCGCCUGGGGAGUACGCACGCAAGUGUGAAACUCAAAGGAAUUGACGGGGGCCCGCACAAGCGGUGGAGUAUGUGGUUUAAUUCGAUGCAACGCGAAGAACCUUACCUGGACUUGACAUGUCGCGAACCCCAGUGAAAGCUAGGGGUGCCUACGGGAACGCGAACACAGGUGGUGCGUGGCUGUCGUCAGCUCGUGUCGUGAGAUGUUGGGUUAAGUCCCGCAACGAGCGCAACCCUCGUCUUUAGUUGCCAGCAAGUAAAGUUGGGAACUCUAGAGAGACUGCCGGUGACAAACCGGAGGAAGGUGGGGAUGACGUCAAGUCAGCAUGCCCCUUACGUCCAGGGCGACACACGUACUACAAUGGUGGAGACAAAGGGCAGCGAACUCGCGAGAGGUAGCCAAUCCCGCAAACUCGACCUCAGUUCAGAUUG